UACGAAGGGGGCUAGCGUUGUUCGGAAUCACUGGGCGUAAAGGGCGCGUAGGCGGCUUUAUAAGUCGGGGGUGAAAGCCUGUGGCUCAACCACAGAAUUGCCUUCGAUACUGUAGAGCUUGAGACCGGAAGAGGUAAGUGGAACUGCGAGUGUAGAGGUGAAAUUCGUAGAUAUUCGCAAGAACACCAGUGGCGAAGGCGGCUUACUGGUCCGGUUCUGACGCUGAGGCGCGAAAAGCGUGGGGAGCAAACAGG
rnacentral:rRNA from 1 species